UACGUAGGGUGCGAGCGUUGUCCGGAAUUAUUGGGCGUAAAGAGCUCGUAGGCGGCUUGUCACGUCGGGUGUGAAAGCCCGGGGCUUAACCCCGGGUCUGCAUUCGAUACGGGCUAGCUAGAGUGUGGUAGGGGAGACUGGAAUUCCUGGUGUAGCGGUGAAAUGCGCAGAUAUCAGGAGGAACACCGAUGGCGAAGGCAGGUCUCUGGGCCACUACUGACGCUGAGAAGCGAAAGCAUGGGGAGCGAACAGG
rnacentral:rRNA from 1 species